rnacentral:rRNA from 1 species
UACGAAGGGGGCUAGCGUUGCUCGGAAUCACUGGGCGUAAAGAGCUCGUAGGCGGCUUGGCAAGUCGGAUGUGAAAACUCCAGGCUCAACCUGGAGCCGCCAUUCGAUACUGCUAUGGCUAGAGUCCGGUAGGGGAGUGUGGAAUUCCCGGUGUAGCGGUGAAAUGCGCAGAUAUCGGGAGGAACACCGAUGGCGAAGGCAGCACUCUGGGCCGGCACUGACGCUGAGGAGCGAAAGCGUGGGGAGCGAACAGG